UGAUGAUGAAGACUCCAGUGAAGAAACCAUCAGUCACCUCGAUCAGCACAUAGAUCACCAGCAAGACACAAUACUUGGUACAGCCCAAGUUUCCUUAAAGAGCUCCAACAAAAAGCAAGCUGAGAAGGUGAGAAGCAAGUGGACAGGUGAUGAAGUUAAGGCUGUUGAACGACACAUGAUUCGUUUCAUAACAAGCUGCAAAGUACCAGGUAAAAGGGACUGUGAUGCCUGAAAGACAGAGACUGGUCUGCCAUCAAAUACUACAUUCAUAACCGAAUCACAGCAUUAAAAGGAAGAUGAAUAGAUAGAAUGCACUGUGAUAGAUGCAGUUAAAC